AUAAUUCUUCGUUUUGAUUACUCAGUAAGAACUAGAUUAUACUUUUGUUGAACCGUUGUCAUUCAUGAACCAAUCUCAUUAGAAGCAUACAAGUGACGAAAAUCAAAUGUAUUAAAGAAAUGCAUAAUAUUUUUUCAACCAAUACUUAUAACAAGACAUCGCUUAAAUAAUAAUACAGAUUGAAAAUUCAAUUACUCGUAGGCGUUACCGAUAAGGAAAUAAAAAGGGGAACAUAAGCUACUUGAAUUGAGAUAAUCAAAUUUACUAUUUUGACCAUGUAGAAAAUGAUAUUCAUGAAGAUAUUAAUGCCGAAAAAUCUUCAUACAAGUAAUUGAAUGCUUAUGUUUCCUCAUUAUACAAAGGACAUAUCCAUUGACAUAAAAAUGUGCGGUCAACCACUGAAGAGAUAGUCUAUGCUUGUAACUUCUAAAAUUGGAACGACGAGUACAAGCGAAGACCUCUCAUUAUGCUUUUAAGUAUCCUUUUUAACUUGAAAUCAUCUAGAAAAUAUUUAAUAUUAAUCCAUAAGCAUAACAAACAUUUCGUAAAAUCAUAAUUAGUGAACCUAGCGCGAAUCGACGUUUUCUAAAUUUAACAGUAUAACUAAAAUAAUCUGUCGACAAAAAAUUGAAUCCCGGAUAAUUUUAGGCAUUAGGAGAUUUCCUCUCUAAAGCAGCUACCUCAAGUUGUAAAGCCCACAGCUCAUCUUGGAGUAUUUUAACCCGCUUAUCUUUCUCCUGAUUCAACUCAGUUUGUAGUGAAAGCUGUUUUUCUAAGAGUGUGUUUUUUUGGGAUUGCUGUUUGAACAGCAGCUGCAGCUUUUGCAAAUUCCUUUGAUAUAAAUCACAAUUCCUUUUCAAUUGCCGAAAUUCUUCUAGGUUUAUUACGUUCUCGUCAUUAUUCUCACUAGCAAUGGUGUUCAGAGAAUCGCUUGACGCAGUCCUUUGGGUGACUUUCUCUUCACUCACAAACUCUUUGUGAAAACUGAAUUCCAAAAGUUCUGAAUAUGGUUCUAUGACAUCGUAAUACGCUUUCUCAGCAGCAUCCCUAUCUUGUAUUUUUUUAAUUAACUCCAUUUAACACCAGUUAGAUAGGAGACUGCGUGAUAUUCUCUUGAAGACAACACAAACAAAAUAUGGUAGCAACUUACUCAAUACGAGACGAGAUGAAAGAACUGGAAAAAUUGACUACUAAAUCUUGAAAAAAUA